CAGCAGCCACGGUAAUACGAAGGGUGCAAGCGUUACUCGGAAUUACUGGGCGUAAAGCGUGCGUAGGUGGUUGUUUAAGUCUGCUGUGAAAGCCCUGGGCUCAACCUGGGAACUGCAUUCGAUACUGGAUAGCUAGAGAUCGGUAGAGGGCAGCGGAAUUCCGGGUGUAGCGGUGAAAUUCGUAGAUAUUCGGAAGAACACCAGUGGCGAAGGCGACAUACUGGAUCAUUACUGACGCUGAGGCUCGAAAGCGUGGGGAGCAAACAGGAUUAGAUACCCCUGUAGUCCCUGUCUCUUAUAC
rnacentral:rRNA from 1 species